AAUCUGCUACCUAAGCUGGAGUUAUCCAAAUUGUUAUAAAUGAUUAAAAGACAGGACCAAAAGUGUUUCUCUCCCAAAGAAACGCAAAGAUUAAGAAAGGAAAGAAACGGAGAGAACAGCAGACGGCAGAUGAGGAAGAGUCGGAACAGCAGUGUGAAAGAGGGGCUGGUCCAUUCUAGUCAGUUCCGGCGAAGCGGAUGGCCUCUGGCCUCUUUCUUCACAUUUUCUUCUGGAGCUGGGAGCUGACUUGCUCUGCUCAAAACAGAAGCAGUGAGCUCAUCAAGAUCCAAGACAACCACUGCCGUGGAAGGAGAGUCUAUUCUUCUCCCAGCUCUCAUCCAUUGUUCCAAAGCCUCCACAGGCACCACUGGGCUCUCCCCAGGCCUGGGCGCCAUGGCAACAGUCACAUGACCCCACAAACAGCUCUGCUGGGGCUGUGCUGCUCAGCCUGCUUCUCUCUGAAGGGAGCCUGGAGUUUGUGAUCUGAGAUGCUGCGUAGAGUCCCCCAGCUGACCACCCCUUGGGCUCAUAGGGACCUGCAGAGAGCCUGGGAGAAAACCUACCAGGACCACAGGAAAAAGGUCCAGAAUGCCCAGCCACUAGUGGACACCCACCCACCCCAGACUUACAGCCACCUCUACCUAAAGUUCAAGAAGCUGAAGAUGGAGGAAGAAAGACUCUCCGUCAUCGACAGAGACAACUGUCUACUUCUGCAGAGGGUGGCCUCUGCCAUGAGAACCAGGGGACAGACUGACAGCAGAAAUAACUUCACACACAGAAGUCUAAACAGGAAGACCAGAGAACAGGCGCACAUGAAAGCACAGAAACAAAACAAAGUCGUCCUGGAAAGACUCCCAAACUCAGAGCCCUGGUAUGGAGCACAGAGACCGUGGGAGGACUGGGUCGCCGCCGCCAGACGUCCCUGCAAAAGCAGACGCACCUGGAGGAAAGACACGACGGGCAUGCCCAGAGGUUGGACUCGCUCAAAAGAGAAGCAGACACCUAUGAACUGAAGUCCCGUCAUGCUGAGAGGAUAUUGCAAAACAAAAAAGCCUGGAAAGUACAUGAAACAGCGGGGCAGAGCCUAAUGCUCAAGAUGGCCGGCACAUCUGCCCCGCCUCACACAGGCUCGGCAGCUCAGGAGGCAUCUUUCUGCCAAGCGAUGCCAUCUCUUGGUUUCUAGGGAGCAAGAUGCUUCUUAUAACAGUUUGUCUGUUUUCUCCAUUGUAUCUAGACAAAACAUGGUAGACACAUGAAAAACACUUCUGUAAGAGCCAAAUUAGUUUCCAGGUGCCCAACAAGUAGGAAACCACAGCUAACACUGACCUUAGAAGAGCUCCAGAGGAAGAACUAGCAGCACUUCGGCAAGACCGACGGAAUACGCCAUUAAAGUCCGUCUUGAUUUUCAGAUCUGUGACCGGUCUUCGAAACAACUUUUCUUGUCCGUGGCCUAACCGAGUUUCUGUCUGAGGACAAAAACAAUGGUGUAAACCAAUGGCAACAUGCGACGAAGAUCUGAGAGCCCACAGAGACCUUCCAAACUUCACGGGCCAUUACCACUGUUCUUGGCUGCCCAUCAGAACUUGAUGGUAAUGCCCUGUUGCUGAAGACACCAGCCCUUUGCUUCAAGGAAGGCACUGUGCUGUGUCUAGACGGUGUGGCCUGCUCAGGCACUGCCGCAGUUCCAUUGGCAUGCAGUUUCAGGACGGCAGAGGAAUGAGGAGACUAGUACACUCUGCAGGAUCCCCACAGCCCAACAGAAUUUCACCUGGACAGACAGCUACCACCACCCCACCAGGGCAUCAUCCCCAAGAAGUGUGGAGAGGAAAAGCUGCCAGCUAAUCCCCAGGGUCCAGGCUGACAUUCCUGAGCAUUGUUAGCUACAAUGUCCUCUCGGCUGUGUGUGUCAUCAGGUUAAGCCCAGGAAGCUUAACCCGGGGCUCGCAUCACAGGAGGGACAGAAUAUUCUGGGACCUGUUGGUAGAGGUUUUAGUAUAGUCAAGAGCACUCCGUGUGCUGUCAGCGGUGACUCGGAAGCACAUGAAGUCCCGAUCCAGUCAGCCCCCUCGUGCGAAGGCUUGCCCACAAGGCCAGUGCCCCCACAAGAAGGCAAGAGCACCCAACAGAAUGGUCCAUGGAAAUGAACUGAGAUACUUUUCUUGUAGGGAUGCUGGUCUCUUUGAAGCAUCUUAAGAUUUUUGAAAUGAGGUGUAAUGAAGACACCUCUCAUCCCAGAUGAAUCUGGGAUUUUGUAUCUCUGUGAGUCUGAGGCCAGCCUGGUCUCCAUAAUGAGUUCCAAGACAGCCAAGGUAAGGUAGAGGUUUUAUAAUGAAACAUUUAGAGAUUCCGUUGUAUCCAAUCCAGUCAAAUGUUAGGUGGUCUCAAUGAAAUCACGGGAAGGACUCUGUUUGCCACUGUCGAAAUCAAGAAGGGGAAAGAACUGCGUAAUCAAUGUGCUCUCAAGAUAUGUUUUCCUUUUGACUGAUGUUUGCAGCAAAGUUAAUUGAAGACAAAUUCGUUUUAAAUGUAUGAACUUCAAACAUAUCUAGGAAAUGUCAGCAUGAUUCAGCUACUAAGGAAUUAUACUCCAAGCUAAAUUCACCAUUUAAUCUUGCCUUUUCAAAAGUGAAUUGGGGACUGGAGUGAUGGCUCAGCAGUUAAUAGCACUGAGAGUUCUUUCAGAGAACAGGGUUUCCAUCUCAGCACCUGCAGGGUGGCUCACAACCAUCUUCAACUCCAGUUCCAGGAGAUUCAAUGCCCUCUUCUGGACUCUGUAGGCACUGCAUGCACAUGUUGGAAUGGGCAUACAUGGAAGCAAAACACCCAUACACAUAAAAUACAAAUACAAAUACGAGUCUGACCUAAAACAUUAGAUUACAUUUGUAAUCUUAUCCAUUACUUAUCAAAUAAGAGGCAGCUGGGACACAGGGUUAAUUUUAAAUUUCGUAGUGAGGGUCUAGAGAUGGCUUAGCAGUUAAGAGCACUUGUUGCUUUCACAGAGGACCUGAAUUAAAUUCCCAGCACCCACUGGGUGGCUUACAGACAUUUGUAACUCCAGUUCCAGAGGAUCCAUGACAGUUCUGGCCUCUGAAGGCAACUUCACUUGUGUGCACUCAAUACACACACACACACACACACACACACACACACACACACACACACACACUUAAAAUACUAAAAAUAAAUGUUUUUUAAAAGAGUAAUUAUUGCAGCAACGAGAAAAGAAAAUAAGACAAGACUUUUCUCGAUUUUCAGCUGUAAAUCUGAAAUGUUCUAGGAAUCUCACUAGAAAUUCUGUUUACAGUAUGAAAGUGCAUGUCCUAACCUCCUUUGGAAAAUUGUAAUCCCAUCUACCACACCUCUGGAGUCACUCUAUAAUCUUACUCAUCACAAAGAGGAAAGAGGGGACUGGAGAGAUGUCUCAGCAGUUAAGAGCACCUCAGGACCCUUCCAGUAGGUCCUGAGUUCUAUUGCCAGCAACCACAUGAUGACUCACAACCAUCUGUAAUGAGAUCUGGUGCCCUCUUCCGGCACGCAGGCAGGAUACUGUAUACAUAAUACAUAAAUAAAUCUUUUUUUAAAAAGGAGGAAAGACAACCUGGGAAAGUUUCUUAGCAACCCUUCGAGAUGUAAAUUGAGAACCACUAACAAGGUAUUAUAUGGUGAGCACUAAGAGGCACUUAAGUAACUCUCUGAGAAACCCACACUGGUGUUUCCAGGUCAUUAUUCUUUCUCUACAUGCCUUUCUUUCCAUUUUGAAUAAAUUGGGACUCUGACUCUUAAUAGCUCGUCCUGAAAUUCUUUUCUGGAUUGAAGCCAAGGAUCCAGUUUUUAUCUGGCCUGAGGUCUGGUUAAAAGAAUUGAGGUGGCGCCGGGCAGUGGUGGCACACGCCU